rnacentral:rRNA from 1 species
CACGUAGGGCGCGAGCGUUGUCCGGAAUUAUUGGGCGUAAAGAGCUCGUAGGCGGCCUGUUGCGUCCGCUGUGAAAGCCCGGGGCUUAACCCCGGGUCUGCAGUGGAUACGGGCAGGCUAGAGGUAGGUAGGGGAGAAUGGAAUUCCCGGUGUAGCGGUGAAAUGCGCAGAUAUCGGGAGGAACACCGGUGGCGAAGGCGGUUCUCUGGGCCUGUUCUGACGCUGAGGAGCGAAAGCGUGGGGAGCGAACAGG